rnacentral:lncRNA from 1 species
AUGUAGAUGCUUCUGCACAUGUUGAACAAAUGAUUACCAUACAUGAACAAACGAAACAGAACAUUGCUGCUACUAAUACAAAAAAUCAGGUUGCUGGUAGUAAAGGAAGAAAACAUGUUACUUUUGAACCUGGUGAUAUGGUUUGGUUGCAUUUGAGAAAGGAUCGUUUUCCUACUUUGCGCCGUUCUAAAUUGAUGCCUCGUGCUGCUGGUCCUUUUAAGAUACUAACCAAGAUUAAUGAUAAUGCUUAUACCCUCGACCUACCUGCGGAGUUUGGUGUUUCCACUAGUUUUAAUGUUGCAGAUUUGAAACCGUAUGCGGGAGAAGAUGAGGAGUUGCCGUCGAGGACGACUUCAGUUCAAGAAGGGGAGGAUGAUGCGGACAUCAACACCAACACGAGCACAUCUACACCAGCAGCACCUUCUCCAGCCCAGGCGCCACCCCUUCCACCUGGGCCAGUGACUCGGGCCCGUGCAAGAGAAUUGAACUACAUCAUGUUGUUAAAGAACGAAGGCCCGGAAGAAUAGACGACCAGCCCAAUUGCGGCCCAUAAUGGACGACCUAGGGUUGGCCGCCCCUAGGGGCUGCGCCCCCUCUCUAUUUAUUCAGGAGCUGCGCCUCCUUUAUUUCCCGAGUUUUGUUUUACGUUAGCCUUAGCUACUCUCGAACACGCGCAAAUCUGCGCUGUCUUCGUGUAUUCAGAACUCCACCCUCGAGUAAUAGAUUAGAUUGCUCGCAUCUUGUUCUUGUUCGUUCUUCGAUUGCGCACAGGAAACGAUCUUCGUGAUCAGGCCGAUCUCGCAUCAGCAAGGUCGGUAACCACAGGGAGUUGGUUCAGCGAUUGCAUUGGCGCCUCGGGCUUGCUCGUCGUAGUCGGAUCGCAAGGGUCAUCUUCCGCCAAAUCGGAAUUAUCUCUACUCGCCGAAAGAUCGGGCACCUCAGCUACAUCACUUGUCGAGGUGGGCCCGACGGUCGCGGUGAUGGUGCUCGUUGCCGAGGCGACCCGGGGCCGCAGGCGCUGUGUUGCGCGUGCGCCCGGUGUAGACCGAGGCUUCCCGCAUGAAUCGGGAAGUCACGGAUGUCCCGAGGGGUACCCCUGCCUUCGGGAGGCAGAGCCCUCAGCCCGCCGGACCACGGCGCCUUCCAGGAGAUUCUUGAGCUCUCCCUGGAUUCGCCGCCCCUCGGUGGUUGAUGGCUCCGGCAUCGCGCGGAGGAGCAUUGCUGCUGCAGCCGGGUUCUGGCCGACCCCACUGGAUGCAGGUGGCGGCCUGACCCUGACAUCGUCGGCGAUGCGGUGCUGGAAGCCCUGGGGUAGAUGACGUAUUUCUCCGGCCGGAGGUUGGCCCGCCCAUGCCUGCCCGACGUCCCGGCGGAUUGGCUCAAGCGCUCCUGCUCCCUCAUCGAGCCUGGCUUGCACCCCGCGGAUUUGCUCGAGCUGUGGGUCGUGACCCCCCGCCGGAACGGGGACCACAGCUAGCUCCCGUGGGAUGUCAAUGCGAGGCACCGGCCUAGGGAGAUCACCGUCCUCCGGCAUGCCGAGAUGGUUGCCUUCGGAGGGACCCCCUAGAUCGACGUGGAAACAUUCACGGCUUGGGCCGCAGUCCUUGUCGCCGAGGCUGCGGCUACCGACGGAACAGUCGGAAAGGCAGUAGUCGCAUGCGGUCAUAAAGUCCCGCAUGGCACUGGGGUUGCCAAGUCCGGAGAAAUCCCAACAAAAGCUGGGCCCGUCGUCUUCCUCGGACCCAGAGGGCCCGUAGGUCGAGACGUCCGUCAGCCGGUCCCAAGGUGACCGCAUACGAAACCCCAGAGGGUUCGGUCUCGCCUCUACGAGAGCGUCCGCCAGGGCGAAGCCGCUAGGCGGGUCGAGGCUGAAUCCGAAAGGCAUGGGAUGGGAAUCGGUUGGUACCUCUUGGUCGAUGGGCGGUGAUGAAGUCGCGUCGGGGACUGACUGCACCGUCAUCUCAGGUACGAGGGUGACACCCAGCAAGCCUUCCGCGAGCGUGCUGGCGUCGUCCGUUUUCUCGGAAUUGGCAUGUCGCGGGGAGACGGCGCUCGCCUUCGUCUCAAACGCGAGGUCGAUGCCCGACGCGCCCUCCGUUGGGGCGCUGGGGCCGUUGACUCGCUCGACAGCCGACGAGGCGCUGCCUCCCGCUUGGCCUUGGUUGCCCCGCCUCCUCCGUUGGCGGGGGAGAGGACGGGGCGAGCUCGAAUGUUGUUCUUCCACCACGCGGGGAAGACGUCGUCGAUUCCGCCGUCGGCGGGCGGGCUGUCGGCCGCCAUUGUCGCUGUCGCACGGCGGUGGAAGGAGUAUCAUGUCGUAGCUGCCGUCGAGGGACACAAACUCAAGAUUCCCGAAACAGAGCACCGUCCCGGGUUGGAGAGGUUGCUGGAGACUGCCCAUCUGGAGCUUGACGGGAAGCUGUUCGUCAACACGCAGUAGGCCCCUACCUGGCGCGCUAACUGUCGGCGUUUCGAGACCAGGGGGUCCCUAAGCCGACGAGUGAAUGUCGCCGCGUGCCCCAGCCCAGAUGGGUCGACCGGGGCCGAGCGCGAAGGGGGAAGCGAGGCGGCCGGAGACAGGCGUGAGAGAGGUGGGAAUCCCGCGGCCUUCGUGUUCGUCCCGCGCCCAGGUCGGGUGCGCUUGCAGUAGGGGGUUACAAGCGCCCACGCGGGAGAGGGAGCGAGCGGCUUCAAGCGAGCGCCUGUCUCGUCCUCGUCCCCCGCGCGGCCAACCCUCUCUAAGAGGGCCCUGGUCCUUCCUUUUAUAGGCGUAAGGAGAGGAUCCAGGUGUACAAUGGGGGGUGUAGCAGAGUGCUACGUGUCUAGCGGAGGAGAGCUAGCGCCCUAAGUACACGCCAUCGUGGCGGCCGGAGAGAUUUUGGCGCCCGGUUUGUGUGAUGUUGUGGCCGUCGGAGGAGCGCUGGAGCCUGGCGGAGGGACAGCUGUCGGGGCUAUCGAGUCCUUGCUGACGUCCUCUUGCUUCCGUAAGGGGGCCGAGAGCCGCCAUCGUCAGGGAGCGUGCGGGGCGCCAUCAUUGCCUAUCUGGCGGAGCGAGCCAGAUGGGACGCCGGUCUUGUUCCCCGUAGCCUGAGUCAGCUUGGAGUAGGGUAAUGAUGGCGCCUCCCGUUGACGUGGCCGGCCCGCGCCCUAGGUUGGGCGAUGUGGAGGCUCCUCCGAGGUCGAGGUCGAGUCCGUCUUCCGUGGCCGAGGUCGAGUCCGACCCCCUAGGUCGGGCGAGGCGGAGGUCGUUGGCUGAGGCCAGGGCGGAGUUCGAGUCCUGGGGUCGGGCGAAGCGGAGUUCGUCGUCUUCUGGGGCUGAGCCCAAGUCCGAGCCCUGGGCCGGGCGGAACGGAGCUCGCCGUCUUCCGGGGCUUAGCCCGAGUCCGAGCCCUGGGUCAGGCGGAGAGGAGUUCGCCGUCUUCCGGGGCUUAGCCCGAGUCCGAGCCCUGGGUCGGGCGGAGCGGAGUUCGCCGUCUUCUGGGGCUGAGCCCAAGUCCGAGCCCUGGGUCGGGCGGAACGGAGUUCGCCGUCUUCCGGGGCUUAGCCCGAGUCCGAGCCCUGGGUCGGGCGGAGAGGAGUUCGCCGUCUUGCGGGGCUUAGCCCGAGUCCGAGCCCUGGGUCGGGCGGAGUGGAGUUCGCCGUCUUCUGGGGCUUAGCCCGAGUCCGAGCCCUGGGUCGGGCGGAGAGGAGUUCGCCGUCUUCUAGGGCUUAGCCCGAGUCCGAGCCCUGGGUCAGGCGGAGCGGAAUUUCAUAUGGUGUCUGCGGCCGGGCCUGACUGCCUGUCAGCCUCACUCUGUCAAGUGGCACCGCAGUCGGAGCGACGCAGGCGGCGCUGUCUUUCUGUCAGACCGGUCAGUGGAGCGGUGAAGUGACGGCGGUCACUUCGGCUCUGUCGGCUGAGGGGCGUGCAUCAGGAUAAAGGUGUCAGGCCACCUUUGCCUUAAAUGCUCCUGCGAUUUGGUCGGUCGGUGCGGCGAUUUGGUUAGGGUUGCUUCUUGGCGAAGACAGGGCCUCGGGCGAGCCGGAAAUACGUUAGCCGCUGGAGGGGGCCUCGGGCGAGGCGGAGAUCCUCCGGGGUCGGCUGCCCUUGUCCGAGGCUAGGCUCGGGCGAGGCGUGAUCGUGUCCCUCGAAUGGACCGAUCCCUGACUUAAUCGCACCCAUCAGGCCUUUGCAGCUUUAUGCUGAUGGGGGUUACCAGCUGAGAAUUAGGAGCCUUGAGGGUACCCCUAAUUAUGGUCCCCGACAAGUAUAAACUGUGACCAAAUUAGUGUGAAUUGCAUCAUGAGGUUUGGGCUGUAAUGGAAAUUUUUGCAGGUACACUAACUAAACACUAGGAAAGUGCAACUAGUGAUCAAUGAUGGAGUGAGUAGGUAUGCCACUGCCAUAGAACAUGAUAGACACUAUAUGUUGGCAAGAUGUGUGAGGACGAAUAGGUCGAGCAUGCAUCAUGACAUACAACUUUAAGUUAAACCCCCUGUAUAACCGUUUAGUGCGUGUUUCGUCCACCCUGUCCAUGCUACCUGCCUUUACUUUUCCAUGCUACCUGCCUUUACUUUCCCAUGCUACCUUUCCUAUUCGGGAAGACUAGAAGCUAAGUUUCAUUUUGUUCGCAGAAUGAGGACUCGUUCUGGAAAGGAUCAUGGUGCUGGUGCUUCCCAAAGGAAUAUCGAGGCACCCAAUCCAUCUCCGACCUCAACUUUGGAUGAUGUUGUGGCUCAGCUUGUGAAUGUGAGCACUGUUCUUCAGCAAAUAGCCCAGCCUACAACAUCAAAUCAGUAUGGUCAUCAUGAUUCUGGUGCUGCUAUCCUCUAUAAAGAGUUUCUCAACACGCAACCACCAGUGUUCUCUAAAGCGGAAGAUCCAUUGGAGGCAGAAGAUCGGCUUUGUACCAUUGAGCAGAAGUUGGGACUCAUCUGUUGUGGUGACGUUCAGAAAACUCAAUGUGCGGCACAACAACUCCAAGGUCAAGCUGGGCCUGGUGGGCUGAAUACCUUACACUGCAGCCAGAGGGACAUCAAAUUACUUGGGCUGAGUUUCGUGAGGUAUUUCGGACGCAUUAUAUUCUGAAAACCCUGAUGGAAAUUAAAUUCAAUGAGUUCUUAGAUUUGAAGCAAGGCGAAGAAGAGAGUGUAAUGGAAUAUUUUGAAAGGUUUCCUCGCCUAUCCCAGUAUGUCUUGGAUUUUGUAAAUACCAAUGAGAAGAAAAAGUUCUACUUCCUACAUGGCCUCAACAAGAAGCUUCAGGGCUUGAUGGCAACCAGUUUGGCUGAAAGAUAUAAUGAGGUGGUCAGUCAAGUUGUUUUGGGUGAUAACAAGAUUUGACUUCAUCAGGAGUCUAAAAGAAAGAAAAUUGCAGAAGAAUUCUCUGGUAAAAUCAAACAGUGCCGGAGGGUUGUUUAUCAAUCUGUUUAUUAUCCUCGUUCUUCUCCACCCCAGCUGUCUAGCUCACCUCAGUCUUGUGAAAAACAGGUUGUCAUUCCUUUCAUUCCACAUGAGCCGGAUGUCCCAGACAUUCGUUCUAAAGAUAUUUCAGACAAUGUUAAUUCAUGUGAGAAUUGUGGUAAGUCAGGACACUCUACACAAGAUUGUCGCUUUCCUAAGCUAGUGAAUGAGCGGUUGUCGCUUGUGAAUCUCCCUCGAGGUAACCAGCAAAAAGCAAGGAAGAAUGACAUUGUCCUUAAACUGGGUCAAGUUCUUUAUACUAAGAUCAAAGCUAUUCCUUAGGGUGAACCGGUUAUGGUGGGUACUUUCUCGGUCGCCAAUCAUUUAGCUAGUAUCCUAUUUGAUUCUGAUGCUUCACAUACCUUCAUAAAUUGUACAUUUGUAUUAAAACACCAGUUGUCUUUGGAGGUGGUAGAGAAUGGGUAUUGUAUACAAUCUCCUGGAGGAUGCUUGCAUACUAAAGAAAUGGUAUAUCAGAUACCCAUAAAGCUAGGUGGUCACAUGUUUCCUACCAACAUGCUAGUUCUUCCAAAUCAAGAUAUAGAUGUUAUCCUUGGCAUGAAUUGGCUUAGUCAACAUGGGGCGGUAAUCAACGCUCUACAACGGACAAUAUAAUUGGAUUCGCCUAACGGUAACUACAAGUUGCUGAUCCGAUUAUCGACACCCAAGAGAGCAGUGGAAAGAGUGUGUGCUAUCACCGUUAAAGAGGUAAAGGAUAUACCUGUUGUGAAGGAAUUUCCAGAUGUGUUUCCUGAAGAUUUGCCUGGAUUGCCUCCAGAAAGGGACGUGGAAUUCAUGAUUGAAUUGCAGCAGGGUACUGCACCCAUAUCUAGAAGAUCAUACAGAAUGGCACCUAAGGAGUUAGCAGAACUGAAGACUCAAUUGCAGGACUUGCUCAACAAAGGGUUCAUUCGCCCAAGUUCAUCACCUUGGGGCUGUCCUGCCAUCUUUGUGAAAAAGAAGGAUCAAACACUCCGGUUAUGUGUUGAUUACCGGCCACUUAACGAGGUGACCAUCAAAAACAAAUAUCCUCUCCCUCGUAUUGAUUUGUUGUUUGAUCAACUUUCUGGAGCUAAAGUGUUUUCUAAGAUUGACCUUAGAUUGGGUUAUCACCAGAUAAGAAUUCGUCAUGAAGAUGUUCCCAAGACUGCUUUCACUACCCAAUAUGGUCUCUAUGAAUAUUUGGUUAUGUCCUUUUGUCUAACCAAUGCUCCAGCUCAUUUCAUGUACUUAAUGAACUCGGUGUUCAUGCCCGAGCUUGACAAGUUUGUGGUGGUCUUUAUUGAUGACAUCUUGAUAUACUCGAAGACCAAAGAAGAUCAUGCAGAGCACUUGCGUAUCGUUUUGACAAGAUUACGAGAACACCAACUUUAUGCCAAAUUUAGCAAGUGUGAAUUCUGGUUGGAUACAAUUCCGUUCUUGGGUCAUAUUUUGUCUGAUGAAGGUGUUGCGGUCGACCCAAGUAAAGUCAAGGACAUUCUGGAAUGGAAGCCACCCACCACAGUGCAUCAAGUUCAAAGUUUCCUUGGAAUGGCAGGGUAUUACCAUUGUUUUAUUCCAGAUUUCUCCAAGAUAGCUAAGCCUAUUACUGAGUUGCUCAAGAAUCAUAUCAAAUUUGUGUGGUCAUCUGAGUGCAACAAAGCUUUUGAAGAACUAAAGAAGUUUUUGACUACCGCACCAGUAUUGGCAUAGCCUGAUAUUGAGAAAUCCUUUGAUGUUUAUUGUGAUGCUUCGGGCAUUGGCAUAGGGUGUGUACUUAUGCAAGAAGGCCAGGUGAUUGCCUAUGCAUCUCAGCAACUCAAGCGUCAUGAAGAGCAUUACCCAACCCAUGAUCUUGAAUUGGCUACUGUUGUUCAUGCACUCAAGAUCUGGCGCCAUUAUUUGUUGGGUAAUAUGUGUCACAUAUAUACUGAUCAUAAAAGUCUAAAGUACAUUUUUACACAGUCUGAACCGAAUCUGAGGCAAAGAAGAUGGCUUGAGUCGAUCAAGGACUAUGAUUUAGAAGUCCAUUACCAUCCUGGCAAAGCUAAUGUCGUGGCAGAUGCUCUAAGCCAGAAACCUCAAUGUAAUUGUCUUUCGGUGAGGCCUUUAACUGUCACCCUAAGUCAGGAAAUGGAAAGGUUGAAUUUGGGGAUAAUUCAGCAUGGUACCUUAGCAAAUCUUGUUCUUGAAUCAACUAUCCAAAGCCAAAUCAUUGAGGCUUAAAAGGUGAAUAAGGGUAUAGCUCAUAUCAAGGAACGAGUUGAAGCAGGAAACGCAACAUGUUUUAGAAUCGACGAAAAUGGUGUCCUUUGGUUCAAACACCAUUUGGUAGUUCCAAAGGUAUCUGAAUUACGAUAACAAAUACUAGAUGAAGCUCAUUUGUCUCGGUAUUCCAUUCACCUAGGAAGCAAUAAGAUGUAUCAUCAUCUGAAGCAAAGGUUUUGGUGGACCAAGAUGAAGAUAGAAAUUGCUCGGUAUGUGGCUAAAUGUGACAUUUGUCAACGUGUGAAAGCCGUUCAUUUGAAAUCUGCCGGGUCGUUACAACCUUUGCCCAUUCCAGCCUGGAAAUGGGAAGAUAUCAGCAUGGACUUCAUUGUUGGUUUACCCAAAACAUCAAAAGGGUAUGAUUCUAUCUGGUUGAUUGUGGAUCGUCUCACCAAGUUGGCUCAUUUCCUGCUAGUAAACAAAAGCAACUCAGUACUUGCAUAUGCUAAGUUGUAUAUCGCUCGUAUUUUGAGCUUGCAUGGUAUACCCAAGACCAUUGUGUCGGGUCGGGGUCCGCAAUUUGUUGCCAAGUUUUGGGCGGAAUUGCACAAAUCUUUGGGUACCAAGCUAAUUCACAGUUCAGCUUAUCAUCAGCAAAUCAGUGGUCAAACUGAGAGGGUGAAUCAGAUCCUGGAAGAUAUGUUAAGAGCGUGUGUUCUCGCUUACUCUGCUAAGUGGGAUGAAUGCUUGCCAUUGGCUGAGUUCUCGUAUAAUAAUAGUUAUCAAGAAAGUAUAAAGAUGGCACCUUUUGAAGCGUUAUAUGGUCGAAGGUGUAGAACUCCUCUGAAUUGGUCCGAACCAGGUGAAAGGUGUUUCUUUGGGCCUGAUUUGGUAAAAGAAGCAAAAGAAAAGGUCAAGUUGAUUCAACAUCACUUGAAGAUAGCUCAACAUCGUCAAAAUAGUUAUGCCGAUAAGAGACGUCGAUCUUUGAUUUUCCACGUUGGUGAUCAUGUGUAUUUAAAAGUGUCACCAAUGAAGGGCAUGGCUCGAUUUGGUGUCAAAGGGAAACUUGCACCUCGCUAUGUUGGUCCAUUUCCAGUGCUUGAACGUUGUGGACAUGUGGCUUAUAAGGUGCAAUUGCCAGAGAAUCUUUCAACAGUGCAUAACGUGUUUCACGUAUCCCAGUUGAAGAAAUGUCUUCGAGUCCCCGAGCAAGUAGUUGAGGUUUCAGAUGUUAACCUUGAACCUGAUCUAACUUACUUUGAGUAUCCUAUUCGGGUUCUAGAUCAAAAAGAUCGGGUCACACGAAGAAAGAUUAUCAAGUUCUACAAAAUACAAUGGAACCAACACUCCGAAGAUGAGGCUACUUGGGAAUCAGAAGACUAUCUUAUGGAGCAUUUUCCUCAGUUUUUAGAUUCCUGUAAAUAUUAAGCCUUGUGUAUUUUGUAUUUGAUGUAAACCCAUAGGGGCACACCCCUUCCUUGUAAGAACAAAGGUAGAAUAAGAUCAUGACGUGUUUCCUAUCCAUUACUUAGCCUGGAGUGUUAAUCUCGAGACGAUAUUCCUUUUUAGGGGGAAAGGAUGUGACACCCCUGGUGUUACGAGAACUAAAACUUUGACAUGUCAUCAUAUGCAUUAGCAUCAUCUUGUUUGAUACACCUAUAAUACAUUUUACUAGGUCCAAAAUUUCAAUUGAAACCCUAAACUAGCCCGAAAAGUGGAAUUUAAAAUCUAGUGAGAAGUUGUCAAAAGUCCAUAUACCAAAGUGGUAAAGCUUGGAAAGUUGAACAACUUCCAUGUGUGGAGAUGACCAAGUUUUAUAGGAAAACUUGAAGUAAACUGCAAAAAUUCAGUUUUGGUGCAAUUUGGGAUUUGCUGAAAAUAAUGUCAAUUAACUAACUUUGGAGCUCUCUACUGCUCUAUCCAUAGAGUUAUACAUUAUGGUUACUAUGAAAAACCUGUAGCAUGAACAUAGGAGAACAUACUGUAUUAGGUGGGAUGCCCCUAAAACCAUAUGCAGCUUGGAGUAAAAGUGGCUCAAAGUAGAGCUGUUUGAAUUCUGAGUUUUCGGAUUUAGCCCAAGUCUGAAAUCAGUAUUUUAGUGCUUAGUUUGGAGCUCUGUUGUGAUUAAUCUAUAUGGUUUUGGACUGAAUUUCCUGUAGCAAGUUUGAAGACCAUAUGUUGGUGUGAAAGUUUGGUUAAAGGUCAUACCCAUAAAGCUACUUGGAACUUGGAGAAAAGGUGGUCUAAAGUGGAGCUGACAGAAUUGGAUUUCAGACUUAGUGCAGCUUACUAAAUCUGAAUUUUAGUGUUUUUGGUGCAACUUUGGAGCUUCUUUGUGACUGGUACAUGGAGUUCUGGGGUAUAUCUCUGCAGCAAAGUUGAAGACCAUAUAAUGGUGAUCAAAUCUUCUUAAGAAAAUUUUGUUUGGUGCUGCACAAAAAAUGGAGUAAACUGUGCCCAAACAUUCUUUGUCAGGCAUAUGUGUUCAGUUUCUUGUUCAGUUAGCUGUAGCUGAAUUCUAGUGUUUUUACCCAACUUCGGGGCACUAUAACUCUUGAUCUGUGAGUAUUUAGCUUAGGGCUUCUACAGAAAACUUGUAGAGUUUGGUGUUGUGAACAUGUUUUGUGAACCAAGGUUGGCUUGUUGUUACUAAGAACUGGGAGAAAGAUUGCUUGUAGCUGUGCUGUCAGACUAGGAUUUCAGCAAUAGGUUCAGUAAACUGAAUCUGAAAUUCAGUGUUUUUCAUUGGGUUUUUAAGCUCCCCUAUACCUAGUCCAUGGAGAUUCGAGCUGUAUAGCAAAGAGUUAAAGGGUAUAUUGGAGAGCAAUUUGUAUUUAGGUCAUUUCUUUGGUAUCAUUUGGAAUCAUGUGAUGCAAGGAGUGGAAGAUGUGGGUUCAGUCUGGUGUCGAAUUCAGUUUAGAAUCUGAAGUUUGAUUCAGUUCACUAAAGAAUUUAGAAAGCAGCAGGUUCUUCUCAAUUUUGGACCUCUUUAGUUUCUAAAUUUUCGAACUUUUGGUGGGUAAUCAUUAUAUCAAACCUGAAGAUCUGUUGUUGAGAAACAAUUUCGGUUAAGAAGGAUUUCCCUGUCCUUAUUUCGAUCUAGGAAAAACUUUGCUCGAAGUUGAGCUAUCCGACAUGUUCGGCACUGAACUGGGAUGUGGGCUGAUGGGAGCCAUGCUCAACCUGAAUGUGGACAUCAAACUAGUUCCUGUGUGCGGUGUAAGACAACGAAUGCAGGGGAAAGGUGUCUAACCGGCAGCCGGCAGGGACGAAGCGCAGAAGCCCGACCACGGAGAGUGGGUCGUCCGCGGCGGAUUCAUUCACCGGCAAGAAAUUCGCCGAGCCCUGGCCGCCCACGCCCCCGAAGUUCCAUGCGGAGACGUCUGAAAACCCUUGACAAAGCUUCCCCGAGCGCAUCUUUUUUCCCUAAGUCGGCGGCAAUC